AAUAGAUACCUAGGUAGUCCACGCCGUAAACGAUGAGUGCUAAGUGUUAGAGGGUUUCCGCCCUUUAGUGCUGCAGCUAACGCAUUAAGCACUCCGCCUGGGGAGUACGGUCGCAAGACUGAAACUCAAAGGAAUUGACGGGGGCCCGCACAAGCGGUGGAGCAUGUGGUUUAAUUCGAAGCAACGCGAAGAACCUUACCAGGUCUUGACAUCCCACUGACCGGUAUAGAGAUAUACCUUUCCCUUCGGGGACAGUGGUGACAGGUGGUGCAUGGUUGUCGUCAGCUCGUGUCGUGAGAUGUUGGGUUAAGUCCCGCAACGAGCGCAACCCUUGAUCUUAGUUGUCAGCAUUUAGUUGGGCACUCUAAGGUGACUGCCGGUGACAAACCGGAGGAAGGUGGGGAUGACGUCAAAUCAUCAUGCCCCUUAUGACCUGGGCUACACACGUGCUACAAUGGAUGGUACAAAGGGCUGCAAGACUGCGAAGUCAAGCCAAUCCCAUAAAACCAUUCUCAGUUCGGAUUGCAGG
rnacentral:rRNA from 1 species